CUUUACUACUCAUCAAGCUGGCAUUUCUGGAGGAAUAGGGGUUGAAAACAAUCCAGAAAGAGAUGUCUGUGCAGAACUCAGAGUGCUCCCCACGUGCCAAUCUGCUCUCUUCAGUUCUCGUGUCUCACCUGCACCGCCCAUCUGUGCGUUUCCAGCAUUGCAUUCAACGACGUGUGCACAUUGCUGAGCUGAGCUGAGUGCUGAGCUGCUCCGCCACCAACAGCCAGGACUUCCACAAACACAGAGGCCAAGAAGACAGCAGCAAAGUAAGAGACCUCAUCUCGAGAGCAGGAGAGGGAGAAUUAUGAGAACGAGCUUUAAGGAACAGAAAGAGAGAGAGACAGAGAGAUUUUAUUGCUCAAGGGGAAGAAAAAAAAAAGAUUAUAAUUGAACUGCAGAAAAUUCUCCACGUCGCAGUGCCAAAUUAAAUCAGAACUCACCUUCCUCCCUGGCCUGGACGGGCUGUACGUGGCCAAGAGGCCAACCGGAUGUGUUGGGCUGUCAGAGGCUGUCAGCAGGCAAAGACCUGGGCAGCACCCCCAGCCUGCCCACUGCCCACUGUGCUGAUGGAAACGCGCUGCACAUCUCCUUGCCAAGUCCUGUUUCUUGCAGUACUGUGGGCAAUUGAGCCCGAAGCUGGCCCAGCAGCUGGUAAUGCAGCAAGCUUUGCAAGCAGCAGCAUCCCUAUCCCUCAGGACUGGGGUGGUCGUAUGCACCGGAGUUAUUAGAUUGUCUUUGGAAUGCAAAGAGCCUGCUUUGGUUUAAGUGGGGCAAGAAAAUCAGUCUUGCAGCAGAGAACUGGGACGGAGAACUGGAGGAAUACAGUGAGUGCAUGUGGGUAGCAAAGAUGGACAGAGAUCAGAGGGAGAAAUAAGCCCAUCUGCACUCUUCUCCACUCACUGCUUUCAAGGGAAUGUGUCCCAACCAUCCAUUCCUUCACUCCCUCCCUCCUCCCCCGCCACAUAUUCUCUUGACUUAUUUGAUGCUGUUUGAAAUCAAGUACUUGGUUUACCCUUCUCAAGCAGAGCUGAUCUCUCCCAGCAUGACUCUGACUGCAGCG
ensembl:lncRNA